GACGAACGCUGGCGGCGUGCCUAACACAUGCAAGUCGAACGGAACUGUUUUGACAGCUUUCUUCGGAAUGAAUUUGAUUUAGUUUAGUGGCGGACGGGUGAGUAACGCGUGAGUAACCUGCCUUCAAGAGGGGAAUAACAUUCUGAAAAGAAUGCUAAUACCGCAUGACAUAUCGGAACCACAUGGUUUUGAUAUCAAAGAUUUUAUCGCUUGAAGAUGGACUCGCGUCCGAUUAGUUAGUUGGUGAGGUAACGGCUCACCAAGACCGCGGUCGGUAGCCGGACUGAGAGGUUGAACGGCCACAUUGGGACUGAGACACGGCCCAGACUCCUACGGGAGGCAGCAGUGGGGGAUAUUGCGCAAUGGGGGCAACCCUGACGCAGCAACGACGCGUGAAGGAUGAAGGUUUUCGGAUUGUAAACUUCUUUUAUUAAGGACGAAAAAUGACGGUACUUAAUGAAUAAGCUCCGGCUAACUACGUG
rnacentral:rRNA from 1 species